rnacentral:rRNA from 1 species
UGGGGAAUAUUGGACAAUGGGGGCAACCCUGAUCCAGCCAUGCCGCGUGUGUGAAGAAGGCUUUCGGGUUGUAAAGCACUUUCAGCGAGGAGGAAGUCAUGUGGGCUAAUACCCGACAUGAAGGACGUUACUCGCAGAAGAAGCACCGGCUAACUCCAUG